CGGACGGGUGAGUAAUGUCUGGGAAACUGCCCGAUGGAGGGGGAUAACUACUGGAAACGGUAGCUAAUACCGCAUAACGUCGCAAGACCAAAGAGGGGGACCUUCGGGCCUCUUGCCAUCGGAUGUGCCCAGAUGGGAUUAGCUAGUAGGUGGGGUAAAGGCUCACCUAGGCGACGAUCCCUAGCUGGUCUGAGAGGAUGACCAGCCACACUGGGACUGAGACACGGUCCAG
rnacentral:rRNA from 1 species